UACGUAGGGGGCAAGCGUUGUCCGGAAUCAUUGGGCGUAAAGAGCGCGUAGGCGGUCCGGUAAGUCCGCUGUGAAAGUCAAGGGCUCAACCCUUGAAUGCCGGUGGAUACUGUCGGGCUAGAGUCCGGAAGAGGCGAGUGGAAUUCCUGGUGUAGCGGUGAAAUGCGCAGAUAUCGGGAGGAACACCAAUGGCGAAGGCAGGUACCUGGACUAUUACUGACACUCAGCUGCGAAAGCUAGGGGAGCAAACAGG
rnacentral:rRNA from 1 species